CGCCGCCAUGCCGAGCGCGGCGCUCAGGGGUGACGGGCCGCUCCUCCUCGCGGCGCGGAGAGCCCCGGCGCCGCCCUGCCCUCAGAGUGUACCGUGUGUACCGCGCCGCGCUUCCGAACCGGAGAGUCGCGUUGGGCAGGCUGGGUGGUGGAGCAGUUCCCUCACAGAACGGGCCGCUAGACUCUGGGCUGCGCAGGGAGCGGUGCAGGCGCCUCCCUGCAGGCGGCACUUGGUGCCACGGUUGAAGUUGGUGUUCUGUCACAAGAGGUCUUUUCUCCAACCUGACUGAUUUUGUGAUUCCGUGAAUCAUCAAUAUUAGAAAAGACCUUCAGGAUGAUCCAGUCCAAGUGUUCACCCAGCGCUGCCACUGUAACCCCUAAACCUCAGCAACAAAUGCAAGAUCCAGACACCUGAACAUCUCCCUGGCAGCCUAUUCCAAUGCCCGAGCUCCCAAACAAUCAAUACAUUUUUCUCCAAACAUAAUUUGAAUCUGCCCUGUCUCGGCUCAUGACCUCACACCAUCUGCUGUGUCCCUCUCCCCUGUAGCUCCCAUAUUUCCUGCAGGGAUGUGCUGGGUUUGUGGGACGCCACUGAGCGCUCAGGCUUGCACAGCUCUGAAAUAAAUAAUUCACUGUGUCUCGAGUGUGUCAUCAUUGGCUUGGUGCACACCAGGGAAUAAAUCAAUGUCCUGAGGAGGCUGUGGCUCCUGGAAAGCUGCUGGUACUGUCAGGGACAGAAAUCACAGCCCCAGGUUUUUGCUCUGAAACAGUUUUUGCUCUGAAACAACUGCAGGAAACAACACAAAUUUGGUUGUGCAAUAUUGAGGUCAGACCUGAGCGUAGCCUCUUCUUUAGGCCCUUUAUCAAAAAUCUCAUCACGAGCCCCAAAAUCCUCUCAAGUGUGUCAGGACUUUCCAUGAAUGAAGUUAAAUAUCUCCAUCCUGCUCCCAGCUCAGGCUUACAAAGCACUCUCAGACUGGCCUUGGGUAGGAUUCCUGCAAGAACAGAGCUCUCUUGCAUGACCCACGGCCAUAAAAACCACCUAGCAGCAUUGUUCAUCCCCAGAAACCUCUGUGGUGCAGCUUGUGAGGCUUUGUCAAGUAAGACAUUUCUUUUGAAAUCUUCUGCUUCUUCUUUUUUUUUUUUUUUUUUUUUCUUCUUUUUUUUUUUUUCCCCCAGGGAAAACUUACUCUCUGCUUCAGCUGCUGCUUGGAAAAUGAAAACACAUCUCUGUCUGUCAGGACCUGGGGGCAGCACGAGACAUCAGCAGCCCUGCCCAGCCUCACCUGGCACCUUCUCCAGGUUCAGAAACCCCAUUUCAGCUCAGCCUGAGGGUUUGGGAGGGGUCCCUCAUCCCAAAUUCCAACCCCUCUUCCCUGGAACUGCCUUGCCACUGUGGAUGCUUAUUCUUGAAAACGUUUAUUACUGAAAACUGAAUGUUAUUACUAGAAAACUG
rnacentral:lncRNA from 12 species